rnacentral:rRNA from 1 species
CAAUAGCGUAUAUUAAAGUUGUUGCAGUUAAAAAGCUCGUAGUUGGAUUUCUGGUGAGUUCGUUUGGCCGGCCGUAAAGGUCUGUGCCGAAAUGUUAUUCGCCAUCCUUGGUGUAAUCUUGUCCGCCAUUAAGUUGUGUGGGCUUGAGGAUGCCAUCGUUUACUGUGAAAAAAUUAGAGUGUUCAAAGCAGGCUUAUGCCGUUGAAUACAUUAGCAUGGAAUAAUAAGAUAGGACCCUGGUACUAUUUUGUUGGUUUGCGUACCUAGGUAAUGAUUAAUAGGGACAGUUGGGGGUAUUUGUAUUCCGUUGUCAGAGGUGAAAUUCUUGGAUUUACGGAAGACAAACUACUGCGAANGNAUUUACNAAGGAUGUUUNCAUUA